UGGCGGACGGGUGAGUAAUGCCUGGGGAGCUGCCCAAUCGAGGGGGAUACCAGUUGGAAACGACUGCUAAUACCGCAUACGCCCUGAGGGGGAAAGGUGGGGAUCUUCGGACCUACCGCGAUUGGAUGCGCCCAGGUGGGAUUAGCUAGUUGGUGAGGUAACGGCUCACCAAGGCGACGAUCUCUAGCUGGUCUGAGAGGAUGACCAGCCACACUGGAACUGAGACGCGGUCCAGACUCCUACGGGAGGCAGCAGUGGGGAAUAUUGCACAAUGGGGGAAACCCUGAUGCAGCCAUGCCGCGUGUGUGAAGAAGGCCUUCGGGUUGUAAAGCACUUUCAGUCAGGAGGAAAGGUGGCUAGCUAAUACCUAGUUGCUGUGACGUUACUGACAGAAGAAGCACCGGCUAACUCCGUGCCAGCAGCCGCGGUAAUAC
rnacentral:rRNA from 1 species